GAUGAACGCUAGCUACAGGCUUAACACAUGCAAGUCGAGGGGUAACAAGAGGAAAGCUUGCUUUUCUUGUUGACGACCGGCGCACGGGUGAGUAACGCGUAUCCAACCUGCCUAUAACUAGGGAAUAACCUUGCGAAAGUAAGACUAAUACCCUAUGAUUUCCUUUGAUGACAUCAGAUUAGGAAUAAAGAUUUAUCGGUUAUAGAUGGGGAUGCGUCUGAUUAGCUUGUUGGCGGGGUAACGGCCCACCAAGGCAACGACCAGUAGGGGUUCUGAGAGGAGGGUCCACCACAUUGGAAAUGAGACACGGUACAAACUGCUACGGGCGGCCCCAGUGAGGAACAUUGGUCAAUGGGCGGAGGCAUGAACCAGGCAAUUAGCGUGCAGGAUGACUGCCCUAUGGGGUGUAAACUGCUCUUAUACAGGAUGAAAGUGAGCCACGUGUGGUUAUUUGUAGGUACUGUAUGAAUAAGGACCGGCUAAUUCCGUGCCAUCAGCCGCCGUAA
rnacentral:rRNA from 1 species